UACGUAGGGUGCGAGCGUUGUCCGAAUUAUUGGGCGUAAAGGGCUCGUAGGCUGUUUGUCGCGUCGGGAGGGAAAACUCAGGGCUUAACCCUGAGCCUGCUUCCGAUACGGGCAGACUAGAGGUAUGCAGGGGAGAAUGGAAUUCCUGGUGUAGCGGUGAAAUGCGCAGAUAUCAGGAGGAACACCGGUGGCGAAGGCGGUUCUCUGGGCAUUACCUGACGCUGAGGAGCGAAAGUGUGGGGAGCGAACAGG
rnacentral:rRNA from 1 species